GAUACCCUAUUAUUUUAAAAGUAAUUUAAUAAAUCUAAUUAGUAAUAGUUAAGUUCUUGAAAAUUAAAGAAUUUGGCGGUAUUUUAGUCUAUUCAGAGGAAUCUGUCCUAUAAUUGAUAAUCCACGAUUUUUUGUACCUAAUUUAUUAAUUUACAUAUCGCCGUAGUUUGAAUAUUUUUUGAAAAUUAUAAUAUUCAUAAUUUAUUUUUAUAAAGAAAAUCAGGUCAAGGUGUAGUUUAUAGUUAGGAAGAGAUGGGUUACAGUAAAAGUAUUUAUUAUGGAUUAAUUAAUUAAAUUUUUUUAUGAAAGUGGAUUUGAAAGUAAUUUUAUUUA
rnacentral:rRNA from 1 species